AACGAACGCUGGCGGCAGGCUUAACACAUGCAAGUCGAGCGCCCCGCAAGGGGAGCGGCAGACGGGUGAGUAACGCGUGGGAACGUACCCUUUGCUACGGAAUAGAUCCGGGAAACUGGAAUUAAUACCGUAUGUGCCCUACGGGGAAAAGAUUUAUCGGCAAAGGAUCGGCCCGCGUUGGAUUAGCUAGUUGGUGGGGUAAUGGCCUACCAAGGCGACGAUCCAUAGCUGGUCUGAGAGGAUGAUCAGCCACAGUGGGACUGAGACACAGCCCAAACUCCUACGGGAGGCAGCAGUGGGGAAUAUUGGACAAUGGGCGCAAGCCUGAUCAAGCGAUGCCGCGUGAGGUAUGAAGGCCUUAGGGUUGUAAAGCUCUUUCACCGGAGAAGAUAAUGACGGUAUCCGGAAAAGAAGCCCCGGCUAACUUCGUGCCAGCAGCCGCGGUAACAC
rnacentral:rRNA from 1 species